rnacentral:rRNA from 1 species
CCUACGGGAGGCAGCAGUAGGGAAUAUUGCUCAAUGGAGGGAAGCCUGAAGCAGCAACGCCGCGUGGAGGAUGAAGGUUUUAGGAUUGUAAACUCCUUUUUUUAGAGAAGAAAAUGACGGUAUGUGAAUAAUACUCACCGGAUAACUCCGUACCAGCAGGCGCGGUAAUACGGAGGGUGCAAGCGUUACUCGGAAUCAAUGGGCGUAAAGGGUGCGGAGGGGGGCUUGUAAGUCAGAUGUGAAAUGCUGUAGUUUAACUACAGAACUGCAUUUGAAACUAUGAGUCUAGAGUGUGGGAGAGGUAGGUGGAAUUCUUGGUGUAGGGGUAAAAUCCGUAGAUAUCAAGCGGAACACUGAUUGCGAAGGCGACCUACCGGAACAUUACUGACGCUGAGGCACGAAAGCGUGGGGAGCAAACAGGAUUAGAUACCCCAGUAGUC